CUUGAGUCCCCGGAGCUGACUGUGCUCCAGACCCACCACCACCACCUCCCMAAAAAGAAAGAGGACAACAGUCUAAAUUUUGAGUGUGGGACAACACAGGAGAGUAUGCAGAACCUGGGACCAAGGCCAACCAGUCAUGGUAGAAGGYUGUGGCAGAGGAACACAUACAGCUGGGAGAGUUCUCUGCCAGGUGAGCAAAUGAGCAAGCAUGUUAUCCCUUCUGGAGCAGCACCUUGGGAAGGAAAGUGACUGGGUGAAGGUCACCUGCAAAUGCCAUUGCCCUCUGCCACAGUCUUCCAUGAUGAUGUUC